AUGGCGGAAGAAGCCCCGACACCAGUUGUUGCCCCAGUAGAGGCACCUACCCCGGUUCUUGGUGAGCCGAUGGACUUGAUGACUGCUCUACAGCUUGUCAUGAAGAAGUCAAGUGCUCAUGAUGGCCUUGUGAAGGGGCUCCGUGAGGCUGCCAAGUCCAUUGAGAAGCAUGCUGCUCAGCUUUGUGUGCUGGCUGAGGAUUGUGACCAGCCUGAUUACGUGAAGCUCGUUAAGGCACUAUGCGCUGAGCACAAUGUUCACCUGGUUACUGUGCCAAGUGCUAAAACUCUUGGAGAGUGGGCAGGGCUUUGCAAGAUUGACUCUGAGGGCAAGGCAAGGAAGGUUGUGGGCUGCUCUUGCGUUGUUGUCAAGGACUAUGGUGAAGAAUCCGAGGGCCUUAACAUCGUGCAGGAGUACGUCAAGUCUCACUAG
rnacentral:rRNA from 1 species